rnacentral:rRNA from 1 species
GGGCUUGACAUCCCACGAACCUGCCCGAAAGGGUAGGGUGCCCGCAAGGGAGCGUGGAGACAGGUGGUACAUGGCUGUCGUCAGCUCGUGUCGUGAGAUGUUGGGUUAAGUCCCGCAACGAGCGCAACCCUCACCCCUAGUUGCCACCGGGUAAUGCCGAGCACUCGAGGGGAACUGCCAGCGUCAAGCUGGAGGAAGGCGGGGAUGACGUCAAGUCAUCAUGCCCCUUACGCCCUGGGCUACACACGUGCUACAAUGGCCAGUACAAAGGGAUGCGAGACCGUAAGGUGGAGCUAAUCCCAAAAAGCUGGUCUAAGUUCAGAUCGCAGUCUGCAACUCGACUGCAUGAAGGAGGAAUCGCUAGUAAUCGCGCAUCAGCACGGCGCGGUGAAUACGUUCCCGGGCCUUGUACACACCGCCCGUCACACCACGAAAGCUGGCUGUACUCGAAGUCGCUGAG